CCAGCGCGCCCGAACCUUGGCACAACGGGCGGGUCCAGUGCAGGGUGGACGGGGCUGACCUCAUCACCAUCUCAGGCAGCCUCGACCAGCAGUUCGCCACGGACUUUGCCCUCGAAGUACACGACAAUAUUUGGAUUGGGUUGAGUGAGGAGGAUCACCCGGGAGAAUGGAGCUGGAGCGACGGCAGCGCCCUCAACUAUACCCACUGGGACGAAGACCAGCCGGAAUCCCUGGACGGCUUCGGCGCGGCGGUGGUGAACCACGAGCAGAAGGACGGCAAGUGGGUGGUGGAGAGGCUCACCGAGGACUACCACUUCCUCUGCCAGAAGAAGCAAGG